rnacentral:rRNA from 1 species
AUGGAGUGGGCGUACAGCGGCGGCGGCCACUCGUCGUCGGGAACGAAAUCUCCGGCGGCCGGCGGCCGGGAGGAGGGCUCGUACAUGACGGUGUCGUCGGCGCCGCCCAAGCGGCGGGCGGGGAGGACCAAGGUCAGGGAGACGAGGCACCCGGUGUACAAGGGGGUGCGCAGCAGGAACCCCGGCCGGUGGGUCUGCGAGGUGCGCGAGCCGCACGGGAAGCAGCGGCUGUGGCUCGGCACCUUCGACACCGCCGAGAUGGCGGCGCGCGCGCACGACGUCGCCGCCCUCGCGCUCCGCGGCCGCGCCGCGUGCCUCAACUUCGCGGACUCGCCGCGCACGCUCCGGGUGCCGCCGCAGGGGGCCGGCCACGAGGAGAUACGCCGCGCCGCGGUCGAGGCGGCCGAGCUGUUCCGCCCGGAGCCUGGGCAGCGCAAUGCAGCUACUACCGAGGCGCCGGCUGCUUCACCGGCAGACGCGGGGAACGCGGAGCUCGUUGCAAACUCUCCUUACCACCUCAUGGAUGGUUUAGAAUUCGAAAUGCAGGGCUAUCUUGACAUGGCGCACGGCAUGCUGAUCGAGCCACCGCCAAUGGCGGGGCCGUCGACGUGGAUCGAGGAGGACUACGACUGCGAGGUCAGCCUGUGGAACUACUGA